rnacentral:rRNA from 1 species
AUUGAACGCUGGCGGAAUGCUUUACACAUGCAAGUCGAACGGCAGCAUAGGUGCUUGCACCUGAUGGCGAGUGGCGAACGGGUGAGUAAUACAUCGGAACGUGCCCAGUCGUGGGGGAUAACGUAGCGAAAGUUACGCUAAUACCGCAUACGAUCUAAGGAUGAAAGCGGGGGACCGUAAGGCCUCGCGCGAUCGGAGCGGCCGCUGUCAGAUUAGGUAGUUGGUGAGGUAAAGGCUCACCAAGCCGACGAUCUGUAGCUGGUCUGAGAGGACGACAAGCCACACUGGGACUGAGACACGGCCCAGACUCCUACGGGAGGCAGCAGUUGGGAAUUUUGGACAAUGGACGCAAGUCUGAUCCAGCCAUUCCGCGUGCAGGACGAAGGCCUUCGGGUUGUAAACUGCUUUUGUACGGAACGAGAAAGCUCUUACUAAUACUAGGAGUCCAUGACGGUACCGUAAGAAUAAGCACCGGCUAACUACGUGCCAGCCGCCGCAGUAA